rnacentral:tRNA from 1 species
GCCUGGGUGGCUCAGUGGGUUAAGCGUCUGACUUCAGCUCAGGUCAUGAUCUCAUGGUUUGUGGGUUCGAGCCGCGCCUCGGGCU